GGUGAAAACACGCAAGGGCACAGAAACUAGACGUGGAGCCUGAGGAUGGGACUGAACUGCUGCCACCUCACUGCAAACUCGAAUGAAGGAGGAGCUGCUGCUUACACGUGAGCAAGGAAAGUGAUUUCUCGAGAUGGAAUCUGC